GUUGUCCAAACUGCAUGCCGAGGUGCAGCGCUUUUCCUGUGCCUAACCUCUUGUUGUGACUUGCCCUGUGAAGAAAAACACUGCCAUAUGCCGGGGAGUGUUCUGCGAACGAUACGACGCCAUCAGAGAGUGGCGCCUGACAGUUUGAUUUGACAGCCCUCUUCAAACCAAAUAUACUCCUUGUUCCUGACACUGCAUCAGCCUGACAAGAGAUUCUAGACACGGGAACGUUCAACUCAACAAAUGUCAUCCUCAGCUUCAUAUGCCACAAGAUGGCGGCAAAGGAGUGCUAUUCUAAAUGAAGCGUCUAAACUCACUCCAACCAGUUCCUUGGAAACAAGACACAACUAGAUCAAGCAGAGAUUUACGAAACGGGACACUCGCAAGUCGAGGUAACCGCCGAGCCAAAGCAGAACUACGACGCGUGACCUCCCAUGGCUUGAAUAAUCUACUUGAAGACACGCGUGCUCUUCCUCUGCUGUGGGAUAAAGUGCAGUUCCUGUUUUCUCUGCGACCAUCUGUAAGGGGAAAACUCGCCCAAGGUAAAAACGAUGACUGCAACUUGGCACAAGAUGAAACGGGC